GAUCGAAAUGUUUUCAAAUCUCUGAUCUUCACGUCCCGCCCAUCUCUAGAGAAGGGAAGAACUAUGACUGUUCUUGGACAACAAAUCUGAGGCUCAGCAGGGUCGGAGAACUUGGGUGCAGUCAGUUAAGUGGGAGAAUCAGGACUGUCCUCUGAAGACACGGACGCCGAAAGGAAUAGGGAAAAUAGGGCAGGUGUUGGAAUCCAAAAGAUCUGAGUCUGAAUCACAGAUGCCAAACUGCAGAACCUCUUUACCCCUCCAGACUAAUUUUUUCAUCUGUGCAAUUGGUUUUUCAUCUGCUUUGAGGAACUCAGGUCCUUCCUUCUGACCCCUCUACGUUUGCUGGGCAUGUGCAGGGAAGUUAGACAGAGCGGGGUUUGGAGUGAAGCCACUCAAGUCCGCGUCCCUACUUUGCAGCUUGCUGGCUCCACGGCCAAACGCAAAUCACCUUCUUUCUCUAGCUCUCGGUUUGCUCAGAGGGAAGAUGAUGGCCCGCGUCGUGGGCGCAACUCAGCAUCAGACUCAAAGCUUCUUUAGGAAGAGACGGCCUGGACACAGGGAUACAGACAAGGCCUCUCUAAACCACAGCGUGUGGCUGCAGCUUUCUCAGCCUGGGGAGAGGACCGGGCUGCAUGUGCAGACAAGUUUGGAAAGCCUUGACCAAGACCCCUGAGUCCACGGUGCCGCCUGGCAAAAUGUAUCACGUCGUGAGCACACCGCCGGCAGUAAAGGGCCAGGAGCCAAGAGCCGAGGACCUGCU